rnacentral:rRNA from 1 species
GAUGAGCGCUGGCGGCGUGCCUAAUACAUGCAAGUCGAGCGAAUGGAUUAAGAGCUUGCUCUUAUGAAGUUAGCGGCGGACGGGUGAGUAACACGUGGGUAACCUGCCCAUAAGACUGGGAUAACUCCGGGAAACCGGGGCUAAUACCGGAUAACAUUUUGAACCGCAUGGUUCGAAAUUGAAAGGCGGCUUCGGCUGUCACUUAUGGAUGGACCCGCGUCGCAUUAGCUAGUUGGUGAGGUAACGGCUCACCAAGGCAACGAUGCGUAGCCGACCUGAGAGGGUGAUCGGCCACACUGGGACUGAGACACGGCCCAGACUCCUACGGGAGGCAGCAGUAGGGAAUCUUCCGCAAUGGACGAAAGUCUGACGGAGCAACGCCGCGUGAGUGAUGAAGGCUUUCGGGUCGUAAAACUCUGUUGUUAGGGAAGAACAAGUGCUAGUUGAAUAAGCUGGCACCUUGACGGUACCUAACCAGAAAGCCACGGCUAACUACGUGCCAGCCGCCGCGGUGA